rnacentral:rRNA from 1 species
AACGAACGCUGGCGGCAUGCCUAACACAUGCAAGUCGAACGAGAUCUUCGGGUCUAGUGGCGCACAGGUGCGUAGCGCGUGGGAAUCUGCCCUUUGGUUCGGAAUAACAGUUGGAAACGACUGCUAAUACCGGAUGAUGACGAAAGUCCAAAGAUUUAUCGCCAGAGGAUGAGCCCGCGUAGGAUUAGCUAGUUGGUGUGGUAAAGGCGCACCAAGGCGACGAUCCUUAGCUGGUCUGGGAGGAUGAUCAGCCACACUGGGACUGAGACACGGCCCAGACUCCUACGGGAGGCAGCAGUGGGGAAUAUUGGACAAUGGGCGAAAGCUUGAUCCAGCAAUGCCGCGUGAGUGAUGAAGGCCUUAGGGUUGUAAAGCUCUUUUACCCGGGAUGAUAAUGACAGUACCGGGAGAAUAAGCUCCGGCUAACUCCGUGCCAGCCGCCGCGGUAA